rnacentral:rRNA from 1 species
CAGCCGCCGCGGUAAUACGAGGGGGGCAAGCGUUGUUCGGAAUUAUUGGGCGUAAAGGGUGCGUAGGCGGUUUGAUAAGUCAUCUGUGAAAUCUCUGGGCUCAACCCAGAGUCUGCAGGCGAAACUGUCGGGCUUGAGUAUGGGAGAGGUGAGUGGAAUUUCCGGUGUAGCGGUGAAAUGCGUAGAUAUCGGAAGGAACACCUGUGGCGAAAGCGGCUCACUGGACCAUAACUGACGCUGAUGCACGAAAGCUAGGGGAGCAAACAGGAUUAGAUACCCGAGUAGUCCAUGUCUCUUAUAC